CUGUGUCCGUCUUUAGCAGCAGAAGUCCAACAUGAUCACAGCUCUCCUUCUUCUAGCACUUCAUCAUUUUUCUGGUCAAGUAGAUGGAAGUGGUGUUUUCCAGAUGCCUGAUAUAAUCUGGGGUUCUCUAGGGAACUCUGCAGAAAUGAACUGCAGUCACAAUAAGGAUUUUACUUACAGACAGAUGUACUGGUUUAAGCAGCUUCCAGGAGAGGGAAUUACACUCCUCGUAUUCACAUCAGUUGGUGUUGAACCAGAUUAUGGGAAAUUCAGUAAAGACAAAUAUGAAGCAAUUAAGACAGUAGCUGAGAGUGGUUCUUUAACAGUGAAGACCUUGGAUCCAGGAGACGAUGCUUUGUAUUUCUGUGCUGUGAGCCAACACUGUGGUGCAAACGCACUACAGUGCUGUACAAAUACUGAAAGAACUAAUGAGAAUGUGUAGAUAUUCAUGUGGUCUAUAGGAGGUGCUGGAGUUUCAUAUAUUCACUCAUUUAAAAGAGGUUUUAUAUGAAGCACAUUAUGUUAGCAGUAGAAUAAAUCCAAGGCAUGCGUGUGACCAGUUUAGAGAGCUUGCUUAAGACAGUGCUAGGUUUUGAACUCACCAGAGGUUUUGAAAUUACCCAGACCUUAAACAAAGAGCUCCACUGUGUCAUAUAAAGUGGCUGGAGACUAUGAGUUGGUAUAGCUUUUGCCUUAAGUCAUAUAAACCAUUACAUUUGGAUUGUGAGGUUUUAUAUAUAGUUAAUCUUGUGCUAUUUUGUGACAGACAAGCUCUCUGUGCAGUAUUCAAUGACUUAUUUUCUGUAUAGGCUUAAACAUUUUCAUAAUGAUCCCAAAAUAGAAAAAUACAGUUUGUGCACACGUUUUAUUUUACUUGUUCUGUGACGAUUCUUGCGUUAUUUUCUGUUUUGUCUGGUUCAUCAAAAUUAAACUGACAAUUAAAUGAAAAAUGUAUGACAUGAAAUCCAAUCUAUUUAUUUCUAUUAUUUAUGUAACUUAUGGCAUUGAUUGAUCCUGAGCUCAGGUUACUGUCUGUGGCAAGCUUUAUAUGUUCCCAUGUCUGUGUAAGUUUCCUCAGGUUUCUCUAGUUUCCUCACACUUCACAAGGACAGAACUUCUCUGAUCUCAGAGCAGUUCAAUCUACAAUACAGUAUUAGAGUACUUUGAGAAAUAAGGUAAAUGAAAAAUCUAAUUAUAGGGUAUAUCACAUGCAGAAAACUGGAAAAGCAAUAACAGAAAAUG